UAGGUUUCUGCCAGCUUUCUCAUAUCAGUCAUCAGUGAAAAGGGCAUAAAUAUAGGCCUACAGGCACCUGCAAGUCCCCUGGUCCUCCACGUGGAAGUUGUGCUGAGGAGAGGCUUCCUAAAGCAUGAGUUCUGCUGACUUGCAACAGUGUUUGCAGGCAGACUGGCAUUUUCUGGAGAUAAGACCACAAAACUGUUCAGGAGAAAAUUAUUGGUGAAGGACUGCAACCAAACAGUGUUUCCACUUGAAGUAUGAAUGUCUACCUGCCUGAUGAGACCUCAUUUACACCUUGUCUUGGCAAGCUGCUCCACGGCUGAGUGUUGGUGGUGGUCAAGUGCCUGUGCACACGAGGGCUCUCUCUACCUGGAGCUCCCCUGCUGAUUCUCUGACUUCCAGCUGAUCCUUUGGAAGUGGAGCUUAAGUAUUGGACUCUGUAUUUAUUUCUCCUCUCUGAUUGUACCAUGCUGUGUAAUAUAUUUGAAUAGAUAACAUGUGGCAUGGCUUCCGUAGCCAGGUUAUGCAAUAUGGGUAAUGUGCACACGUAAUGGGCUAUUCCUGUAAUAAAUGUGUGUAAGUAUACUAUGCUUGAUUUGACUCCACUGAAUGCAGAUGAGGGAGGCAGUACUGUUCAGUACUAUUGCUUCUAAUCUGGGGCUAAUAUCGGGUUGCCAAAAAUGCUACCUAUCAAAGAAGUAUAUUGCAUUUGGACACGAAGGAUGUAUAUGCAAGAAGUUAAUGCAUGAUUACUUCCUAGUAUGCUUGGUUGCCUUAAAAGUAUGCUAAAGGAAACCAAAUAUAUUACCUAUAUGUCAGUACAGUACUGCCAGCAUCAGGCUUUCCCAAAUCACAGGACCAGCUUAAAAAUCAAUGCAUUUGUUUUCUACUU